CAGUUAGAAAUGACUGCUAAUGCCUUAUACGCCCUUCGGGGAAAGAUUUAUCGGUAUUGGAUGAACCCGCGUUUGAUUAGCUAGUUGGUGAGGUAAUGGCUCACCAAGGCUACGAUCAAUAGCUGGUCUGAGAGGAUGAUCAGCCACACUGGGACUGAGACACGGCCCAGACUCCUACGGGAGGCAGCAGUGGGGAAUAUUGGACAAUGGGCGCAAGUGAUCCAGCCAUUCCGCGUGAGUGAUGACGGCCCUAGGGUUGUAAAGCUCUUUCAACGGUGAAGAUAAUGACGGUAACCGUAGAAGAAGCCCCGGCUAACUUCGUGCCAGCAGCCGCGGUAAUACGAAGGGGGCUAGCGUUGUUCGGAAUUACUGGGCGUAAAGCGCACGUAGGCGGAUUGUUAGGUUAGGGGUGAAAUCCCGGGGCUCAACCCCGAACUGCCUUUAAUACUGGCAAUCUAGAGAUCUAGAGAGGUGAGUGGAAUUCCGAGUGUAGAGGUGAAAUUCGUAGAUAUUCGGAGGAACACCAGUGGCGAAGCGGCUCACUGGCUAGAUACUGACGCUGAGGUGCGAAAGUGUGGGGGGCAAACAGGAUUAGAUACCCUGGUAGUCCACACCGUAAACGAUGAGAGCUAGCUGUCAGGUUUGCAUGCAAUUUGGUGGCGCAGUUAACACAUUAAGCUCUCCGCCUGGGGAGUACGGUCG
rnacentral:rRNA from 1 species